AGUGAACGCUGGCGGUAUGCCUAACACAUGCAAGUCGAACGGCAGCACAGUAAGAGCUUGCUCUUACGGGUGGCGAGUGGCGGACGGGUGAGGAAUACAUCGGAAUCUACUUUUUCGUGGGUGAUAACGUAGGGAAACUUACGCUAAUACCUCAUACGACCUACGGGUGAAAUCAGGGGAUCUUCGGACCUUUCGCGAUUGAAUGAGCCGAUGUCGGAUUAGCUAGUUGGCGGGGUAAAGGCCCACCAAGGCGACGAUCCGUAGCUGGUCUGAGAGGAUGAUCAGCCACACUGGAACUGAGACACGGUCCAGACUCCUACGGGAGGCAGCAGUGGGGAAUAUUGGACAAUGGGCGCAAGCCUGAUCCAGCCAUACCGCGUGGGUGAAGAAGGCCUUCGGGUUGUAAAGCCCUUUUGUUGGGAAAGAAAAGCAGCAGGUUAAUACCCCGCUGUUUUGACGGUACCCAAAGAAUAAGCACCGGCUAACUUCGUG
rnacentral:rRNA from 1 species